UACGGAGGGUGCGAGCGUUAUCCGGACUUCCUGGGUUUUAAGGGUGCGUAGGCGGCCAUGUAAGUCAGGAGUGAAAGUUUGCGGCUCAACCGUAAAAUUGCUUUUGAUACUGCAUGGCUGGAAUCAGGAUGAGGUCAGCGGAAUGUGGCAUGUAGCGGUGAAAUGCAUAGAUAUGCCAUAGAACACCAAUUGCGAAGGCAGCUGGCUAGACCUGUAUUGACGCUGAGGCACGAAAGCGUGGGGAGCGAACAGG
rnacentral:rRNA from 1 species